rnacentral:rRNA from 1 species
UACGAAGGGGGCAAGCGUUGUUCGGAAUUACUGGGCGUAAAGGGCGCGUAGGCGGCUUAUCAAGUCAGGCGUGAAAUUCCCGGGCUCAACCUGGGGGCUGCGCUUGAUACUGAUUGGCUUGAAUGCGGGAGAGGAUAGUGGAAUUCCCAGUGUAGAGGUGAAAUUCGUAGAUAUUGGGAAGAACACCGGUGGCGAAGGCGGCUAUCUGGCCCGUAAUUGACGCUGAGGCGCGAAAGCGUGGGGAGCAAACGGG